rnacentral:rRNA from 1 species
CCUACGGGUGGCAGCAGUGGGGAAUAUUGGACAAUGGGGGGAACCCUGAUCCAGCCAUGCCGCGUGUGUGAAGAAGGCCCUCGGGUUGUAAAGCACUUUCAGUGAGGAAGAACGCCUGGUGGUUAAUACCCAUCGGGAAAGACAUCACUCACAGAAGAAGCACCGGCUAACUCCGUGCCAGCAGCCGCGGUAAUACGGAGGGUGCGAGCGUUAAUCGGAAUUACUGGGCGUAAAGCGCGCGUAGGUGGCUUGAUAAGCCGGUUGUGAAAGCCCCGGGCUCAACCUGGGAACGGCAUCCGGAACUGUCAAGCUAGAGUGCAGGAGAGGAAGGUAGAAUUCCCGGUGUAGCGGUGAAAUGCGUAGAGAUCGGGAGGAAUACCAGUGGCGAAGGCGGCCUUCUGGACUGACACUGACACUGAGGUGCGAAAGCGUGGGUAGCAAACAGGAUUAGAUACCCUAGUAGUC